GAUGAACGCUGGCGGCGUGCCUAAUACAUGCAAGUCGAGCGAAUGGAUUAAGAGCUUGCUCUUAUGAAGUUAGCGGCGGACGGGUGAGUAACACGUGGGUAACCUGCCCAUAAGACUGGGAUAACUCCGGGAAACCGGGGCUAAUACCGGAUAACAUUUUGAACCGCAUGGUUCGAGAUUGAAAGGCGGCUUCGGCUGUCACUUAUGGAUGGACCCGCGUCGCAUUAGCUAGUUGGUGAGGUAACGGCUCACCAAGGCAACGAUGCGUAGCCGACCUGGGAGGGUGAUCGGCCACACUGGGACUGAGACACGGCCCAGAAUCCUACGGGAGGCAGCAGUAGGGAAGCUUCCGCAAUGGACGAAAGUCUGACGGAGCAACCCCGCGUGAGUGAUGAAGGCUUUCGGGUCGUAAAACUCUGUUGUUAGGGAAGAACAAGUGCUAGUUGAAUAAGCUGGCACCUUGACGGUACCUAACCAGAAAGCCACGGCUAACUACGUGCCAGCCGCCGCAGUAA
rnacentral:rRNA from 1 species